rnacentral:misc_RNA from 1 species
UAAUUUGAUUUGAAAUCCACAUGUUUAGAAAAAACACCCGUCAGAGAAAACAUAAUUUAUUGCUGCCAUGGACUAUUGAGACCCUAUUCAAUUUAGGAUUAACAUUGCUAUUAUAUCUCCGCGACGCACAAUUUUCUUGGAUAAGUUUAAUAGUUUUGGUUCUUAAUUUAUAUUUUUGGUAUGCCAUGGUGUCGCUUUAUGGGAAAAUUAGAGAAGGAAAUGAGAGGCGAUCAAAUCGCAAUGUAAAUGUAUAGUUCGAAACGGGAGAAAAUUAAU